rnacentral:rRNA from 1 species
UACGUAGGGUGCAAGCGUUGUCCGGAAUUAUUGGGCGUAAAGAGCUCGUAGGCGGUUCGUCGCGUCGGCUGUGAAAUCCCGAGGCUCAACCUCGGGUCUGCAGUCGAUACGGGCGGACUGGAGUUCGGCAGGGGAGACUGGAAUUCCUGGUGUAGCGGUGAAAUGCGCAGAUAUCAGGAGGAACACCGGUGGCGAAGGCGGGUCUCUGGGCCGAUACUGACGCUGAGGAGCGAAAGCGUGGGGAGCGAACAGGA